rnacentral:rRNA from 1 species
GGCUGCAGAAUUUAUAACUGUACAAAGGUAGCAUAAUAAUUUGUUUUUUAAUUAAAAACUAGAAUGAACGAUUAAAUGAAAUAUAAACUGUUUCAAUUAAAUAUAAAUUUAAAUUUUUAUUUAAGUUAAAAAACUUAAAUAUACUUAAAAGACGACAAGACCCUAUAGAAUUUUAUUUAUUUUAUUAAUUUAAAAUUUAAUUAAUUUACUUAAAUUUUUAAAAUAAAUUUAAUUGGGGUAAUUUAAAAAUUUAAAAAAUUUUUUUUUUAAAAAACAUUAAUUAAUGAAUAAAAUAUCUUAAAAUUUAAAUUAUUAAAAUUAAUUACCUUAGGGAUAACAGCAUAAUUUUUUUUAAAAGAUCUUAUU